ACCCGGGUAGUCUAAAUAAGGACGUAACGUUGAAAGCGUUAAGGAGCGCUACUCUCUGGGUG
rnacentral:tRNA from 1 species